CAGAGGAUGGUCAGCCACACUGGGACUGAGACACUGCCCAGACUCCUACGGGAGGCUGCAGUCGAGAAUCAUUCGCAGUGCGCGAAAGCGUGACGAUGCGACGCCGCGUGGAGGAUGAAGGCCUUCGGGUUGUAAACUCCUGUCGUGAGGGAACAAUGGCCCCGGUGUGAAUAGCGCCGGGGUGUGAUGGUACCUCAAGAGGAAGCCACGGCUAACUCUGUGCCAGCAGCCGCGGUAAUACAGAGGUGGCGAGCGUUGUUCGGAUUUACUGGGCGUAAAGGGUGCGUAGGCGGUUUCGUGUGUCGGGUGUGAAAUCUCACCGUUCAUCGGUGAAACUGCAUUCGAAACUACGGGACUAGAGUACAGGAGAGGAGAGCGGAAUUCUCGGUGUAGCGGUGAAAUGCGUAGAUAUCGAGAAGAACGCCGGUGGCGAAAGCGGCUCUCUGGACUGAUACUGACGCUGAGGCACGAAAGCUGGGGGAGCAAACAGGAUUAGAUACCCUGGUAGUCCCAGCCGUAAACGGUGUGCACUUGGUGUGGGUGGCUUUGUCCCCAUCCGUGCCGUAGCUAACGCGUUAAGUGCACCGCCUGGGGAGUACGGCCGCAAGGCUAAAACUCAAAGGAAUUGACGGGGGCCCGCACAAGCGGUGGAGCAUGUGGCUUAAUUCGAUGCAACGCGAAGAACCUUACCAGGGCUUGACAUGCCCGUCGUAUCCCCCUGAAAGGGGGGAGUCAGUUCGGCUGGACGGGACACAGGUGCUGCAUGGCUGUCGUCAGCUCGUGCCGUGAGGUGUUGGGUUAAGUCCCGCAACGAGCGCAACCCUUAUGGUUAGUUGCCCCUUUGGCCGAGAGGUCAGAAGCACUCUAACCAGACUGCCUGUGACAAGCAGGAGGAAGGUGGGGAUGACGUCAAGUCAGUAUGGUCCUUAUGCCCUGGGCUGCACACGUGCUACAAUGGCAGGUAUAGAGGGAAGCAAGACCGCGAGGUGGAGCAAAUCCCCAAAACCUGCCCCAGUUCGGGUCGGAGUCUGCAACUCGACUCCGUGAAGCCGGAAUCGCUAGUAAAGGCGUAUCAGCUACGACGCCUUGAAUACGUUCCCGGGCCUUGUACACACCGCCCGUCACAUCACGAAAGUCGACUGCACCCGAAGUCGCUGAUCUAACCUUUUAGGAAGAAGGCGCCGAAGGUGUGGUUGAUGAUUGGGAUGAAG
rnacentral:rRNA from 1 species